AGUGAACGCUGGCGGUAGGCCUAACACAUGCAAGUCGAACGGCAGCACAGUAAGAGCUUGCUCUUACGGGUGGCGAGUGGCGGACGGGUGAGGAAUACAUCGGAAUCUACUUUUUCGUGGGGGAUAACGUAGGGAAACUUACGCUAAUACCGCAUACGACCUACGGGUGAAAGCAGGGGAUCUUCGGACCUUUCGUGAUUCAAUUAGCCGAUGUCGGAUUAGCUAGUUGGCGGGGUAAAGGCCCACCAAGGCGACGAUACGUAGCUGGUCUGAGAGGAUGAUCAGCCACACUGGAACUGAGACACGGUCCAGACUCCUACGGGAGGCAGCAGUGGGGAAUAUUGGACAAUGGGCGCAAGCCUGAUCCAGCCAUACCGCGUGGGUGAAGAAGGCCUUCGGGUUGUAAAGCCCUUUUGUUGGGAAAGAAAAGCAGCAGGUUAAUACCCCGCUGUUCUGACGGUACCCAAAGAAUAAGCACCGGCUAACUUCGUG
rnacentral:rRNA from 1 species